UUUCCGUAGGUGAACCUGCGGAAGGAUCACUAUUGAAUAUUCUUGAUGGGUUGUAGCUGGCUCUCCGGGGCAUGUGCACACUUGUCUUGACUUUAUUCGUCCACCUGUGCACCUUUUGUAGUCUUGGGGGUUGAGAGCAAGUCGACUAUCGGAUGGCUAAGGCCUUUCCGGACGUGAGGAUUGCUGAGUGCGAAAGCAUACAGCUCUUCUUAAAUGACUUGUAAUACCUCUCCCUCAAGUACUAUGUAUCCAUAUACCACAUAGUAUGUUGUAGAAUGUGAUCAAUGGGCCUAUGUGCCUAUAAUAAUGAUAUACAACUUUCAGCAACGGAUCUCUUGGCUCUC
rnacentral:misc_RNA from 1 species